AUACGGGGGUUGCAAGCGUUAAUCGGAAUUACUGGGCGUAAAGCGCGCGUAGGCGGUUUGCUCAGUCGGAUGUGAAAGCCCAGGGCUCAACCUUGGAACUGCAUACGAUACUGGCAAACUAGAGGGUGAGAGAGGAUAGUGGAAUUUCCGGUGUAGCGGUGAAAUGCGUAGAUAUCGGAAGGAACAUCAGUGGCGAAGGCGACUGUCUGGCUCAACACUGACGCUGAGGUGCGAAAGCGUGGGUAGCAAACAGGAUUAGAAACCCUAGUAGUCC
rnacentral:rRNA from 1 species